rnacentral:rRNA from 1 species
AUUGAACGCUGGCGGCAGGCCUAACACAUGCAAGUCGAGCGAGCGGCGGACGGGUGAGUCAUGCCUGGGAUUUGCUCAGUCGAGGGGGAUAACAGUUGGAAACGACUGCUAAUACCGCAUACGUUUGGUUUGCCCAGGUGGGAUUAGCUAGGUGGUGAGGUAAUGGCUCACCAAGGCGACGAUCCCUAGCUGGUCUGAGAGGAUAAGCAGCCACACUGUAACUGAGACACGGUCCAGACUCCUACGGGAGGCAGCAGUGGGGAAUAUUGCGCAAUGGGGGAAACCCUGAUGCAGCCAUGCCGCGUGUGUGAAGAAGGCCUUCGGGUUGUAAAGCACUUUCAGCGAGGAGGCGUUACUCGCAGAAGAAGCACCGGCUAACUCCGUGCCAGCAGCCGCGGUAAUAC